AGCCCUAGCCCCAGAAGCCCCGGGGGCAGUCGGAUCAAUGUAGCAGCUCCACCACGGAUUGCCCCACCUCCUCUGCCCUCGGGUGUAAAGCUCCUGGGGCCCGCUGUCACGAUCCGUGGGUCACGGAACCCGGGCUGCCGGGGGCAAGGGGAAACGGGGGCCCCCACCCCGACUCCCCGACUAGGGGAAUCCAUUCCACUUCCAUCCCGGGAUAGGGAGCACGGGUUCUCCAUCACACGCGCGGCGGGGCGACGCCAGGGCGGCUCGCGACACGCCGCGACUCUCCCUCCCUUCCCUGGGCCCCCAGCCCCACGCCGGGGCCCCGGCGCUCUCGAUCCCGCCCUCAGGCAAACUUUUCCAGGUCCCCGAAGGCUCGAAGAACCGGCGCCAUCGACGUACCUGAGGCCGAGUGGCUCACGGGCCAGGCUCAGUCGCCGGGCCGGGGUCGGUCUCCGUAGUCUCCUCCCCGCUCCGGGGGCCGAGACGCGGGUCCCCAGCCCCGCCAGCCCGUCCUCUCCCCUCGGAAGCCCGGCCCGGCGAGUGGCGCCGGGAACUCGGCGCCGGCGAAAGGAGAAGUGGAAGUUGAGCACGGCGCCCGGUCCGUCCCCGCGGCCGCUAGGGCCGCGGUCCCCCGCCCUCCUCCCCGCCCGCCCUUCCUCCCCGCCCGCUUGUCCCCGCCACCCCGCGCCCGUGACUCACCUCGGCGCCGGGGCAGGCUGGUCCGGGCGGGCAAGGCGCAGGGCUCUCCCACACGUCGCGCCGCCUAUGGCAAGUUGGAGGGAGAGAUGCAACUACCAGCUCUCAGGAGAAGUAUGGCCGGGCCAAGGCUGAAAUUGCUCAGGACUAGUGGUGGAUUCCUCCCGUGAGUGAAUGUCCUUGGAACUAAGGCUGAUGCCUCAAGGCAGCACGCAAGGAGACGUUUUCCUUUUGGGAAGGGCAGGAAGAGAGGUCGGCACUGCCAACCAGCUCAUGGUGACUGGCCCUAAUGCCUGCCAGCGCCCUGCAGCCCACGGCUCCUGGGAAUCCCAUAAGUUCCCACCUUCCCCAGCUGCUCAGAACUAACCACAGCCCUGUGAUCUGCUAGUUGCAGCCAAAGCAAGCCCCAACCCUGGUGAUGAAAAAGGCUGACCUCGCCUUGAGGAGCCAUGGGCCACAUGAAUGACCUUCCCGGCUGCCUUCUCCUUCCCCACCCGGCUCUCGGCUCUUCUACCUACCCGCUGGGUGAGCCCCAGCCAGGUGGGGCCAGCCAGGCUGAGAUCACCACUCUCCCGAUGACAGCCAAGCUGUUUCUGCCAAUGGCUCAUUCCGUGACUUGGCAGGAAUUCCCCUUCUCGAGUUGCCCAUGGAUGCCCAGCCUGCACCAUAAGCAGAGCACUCUGAGCCUCUCUGCUUCCAGCCCUGUUUCCCCCAGUCUCCAACCCUGACUGGGUGGUCGCAGGUCUCAAAACUUGGGUCCUGCAAAGAACGGAGGAGCCUCUGUGUUGCCCACAGCCCAUGUGGUUCCACCUCCCUACCCGCACACUCAACUCGCCCUUCCACUUUAACAGCUUUCAGAGCCCCUUUGUCUCCUUUUUCUUUUUUUUUUCUAGAGGCAAGGUCUUGCCAUAUUGCCCAGGCUGGAGUGCAGUGGCACGAUCAUAGCUCACCACAGCCUCCAACUCCUGGGCUCAAGCAAUCCUCCCUCUCCUUGGCCUCCAGAGUAGCUGGGACUACAGACACACACCACCAUUCCUGGCUAAUUUUUGUAUUUUUUGUAGAGACAGGGUUUUGCCAUGUUGCCCAAGCUGGUCUUGAACUCCUGAGCUCAAGCGAUUUUCUUACCUCGGCCUCC
rnacentral:lncRNA from 13 species